AGUGAACGCUGGCGGUAGGCCUAACACAUGCAAGUCGAACGGCAGCACAGUAAGAGCUUGCUCUUACGGGUGGCGAGUGGCGGACGGGUGAGGAAUACAUCGGAAUCUACUUUUUCGUGGGGGAUAACGUAGGGAAACUUACGCUAAUACCGCAUACGACCUACGGGUGAAAGCAGGGGAUCUUCGGACCUUGCGCGAUUGAAUGAGCCGAUGUCGGAUUAGCUAGUUGGCGGGGUAAAGGCCCACCAAGGCGACGAUCCGUAGCUGGUCUGAGAGGAUGAUCAGCCACAAUUGAACUGAGACACGGUCCAGACUCCUACGGGAGGCAGCAGUGGGGAAUAAUGGACAAUGGGCGCAAGCCUGAUCCAGCCAAACCGCGUGGGUGAAGAAGGCCUUCGGGUUGGAAAGCCCUUUUGUUGGGAAAGAAAAGCAGCAGGGUAAAACCCCGCUGUUCUGAAGGGAACCAAAGAAUAAGCACCGGCUAACUUCGUG
rnacentral:rRNA from 1 species